GGGGACGCGUGGGUUCGACAGGGGAGGUAUGCUGCAGGAUUGCAAGCUGAGGUGCCACUACUCUCAUAAAACAAGUGGCAAAAAACAACUGGCGAAGAACCAGUUCUAAUUGCUGCCUAAUUAAAUAGGUUGCACAUCCACCCCGACCUUUCCUCAACGGGUUGGGAUUGGGUGCCGAAAAAUUGAGGUGCCACAGCCCAGACGUCGAUAAGGACUGCGAAAGAGUUCUCGACUGGCCUGGCUAAACUCGGUCAGCAGAGGCUAGCCAGGUAAGAUAAAAGAGCUGACUAAGCUUGUAGUAUAUUCUGGGUAGCUUCUCUUGGACGGGGAGUUCGACUCUCCCCCGCCUCCACCA
rnacentral:tmRNA from 1 species